AAAAGUAUUUCGGUAUUCGUUUUCCAGAUUUUGUUUUCAUUUGUUUGCUUUUGUUGGGAUUUUAAUUCGUAUGCCAUGCCACCUGAAAACUGUUAAUGUGCGCAACUAAUUAAAAGGCCAUUAAUUCUCUCACAUUUUCCGGUUACAUUUGGCUUCUUCAUUCAACACGCUCGCUCUCCGCCCAGUACACAACAGAGCGGAACACAACGGAACACAACCUCAAAAAUCAAAGGAACAGAACAUAUUUUGCAGUCUAGUAAAUAAUGCUGAGAGUAACCAAAGGCAUUCUCAGAAUGCCGAACCAAACCAGACAAGACCAGACCACACCAGACACCAGGCCAGCACUAGGCCAGCACCCGGGCCCGUUCCCGGGCAGGCAGCAUAGAAAAGCCAGCGAAGCGUUAGAACAAUUUCCAUUCUAAUGGCCAAGACACCCAGCUACUCGUACACUCGGGCACACAAAGAAAAAUAUUAAAACCGAACAAAACACUCGACACGCGAUGCCCAAAAAUUGGAGAAACCGCAGCAUUUAAUUAUUUUGCGAUAAAAGUUUUCACAAUUCAAUCAAUUCAACAUUUUCAGAGGCAGCCUGUGGCCUGCCCACCGCAUACAACGUGGCGUAUGCGUGUUUUUUACGCUGUGUGCUCUCUGGAUAUGAGAUGACAGAUCGUGGAAGAAUUUGCCUAGACGAAUACAAUAUUGUUUGGGAAAUACAGUAUUCCGCUGAACGGAAACGAAAGAA